UACGUAGGGGCAAGCGUUGUCCGGAAUGACUGGGCGUAAAGGGCGUGUAGGCGGCCGAUUAAGUCUGGAGUGAAAGUCCUGCUUUCAAGGUGGGAAUUGCUUCGGAUACUGGUUGGCUUGAGUGCGGAAGAGGUAAGUGGAAUUCCCAGUGUAGCGGUGAAAUGCGUAGAGAUUGGGAGGAACACCAGUGGCGAAGGCGACUUACUGGGCCGUAACUGACGCUGAGGCGCGAAAGCGUGGGGAGCGAACAGGAUUAGAUACCCUGGUAGUCCCUGA
rnacentral:rRNA from 1 species